rnacentral:rRNA from 1 species
UACGGAGGGUGCGAGCGUUGUCCGGAAUCACUGGGCGUAAAGGGCGCGUAGGCGGCCUGAUAAGUAGGGGGUGAAAUCCUGCGGCUUAACCGCAGGGCUGCCUUCUAAACUGUCAGGCUCGAGCACAGUAGAGGCAGGUGGAAUUCCCGGUGUAGCGGUGGAAUGCGUAGAGAUCGGGAAGAACAUCAGUGGCGAAGGCGGCUCGCUGGGCAGUGGCUGACGCUGAGGCGCGACAGCGUGGGGAGCAAACAGG